GGGGGCGAUAGGCUUCGACGGGGGGAGGAAGUUCAGCAUUGCACGCCGAGUGUCUCCGGCAGACUCGUUAAACGGCUGGAAAAACCUUUACUUGCAGACGACUAUUCGUAUGCGAUGGCUGCGUAAGGACAUAAGUCUUUAGGUAGCCCGCCCUGCCCUUGAGUGCUUGUCCUUGGGGAGCGGGGCGACAGACUUGGACAAGAUAGCUGCAAAGCUCUGCCCUGGGCUUGGUAGUGACCUGGUUUUCGCUUAGCGACAACCGGAUUGGGCUGGCUAGGUAAGCACCCUGUCCGUUGGGGGCCUACCCGGUAAGAACCAAAAGACGGACUAUGCGUGUAGAAGAGUUGAGUAACCGCCUUUCGGACGUGGGUUCGAUUCCCACCGCCUCCACUA
rnacentral:tmRNA from 1 species